AUUAUGCAGAUGCACGGCUGGAGGUGGGAUCCACACAGCUCAGAACAGCUGGAUCUUGCUCACACUCUUUCAAGAGAAGCUUCCUUGGCCUCUGGGUGAUAGAGAAGAAAGAAGCUGUGCUGUUCCCUAGUGGGAAAGAUGGCCCAGACAGGGGCAGUGAGAACGGCAUGUUGCAGAAUGGUGUCUGCCACAUGAUCCCAGCUUGACAAUCAUGAGAUUAAAAGUCAAACUGUGGAAGCGUGAGCAUAACUGUGGGAGCGUGAGCUUAGCCCUCUGUGUUUGUAGAAGCAGAAACAAACCUGGAAGAUUUUGGAUUAUUAACAUUAUACUUUCUUGCUUCAAUGUCAGAGUCAGGAGGUCAGGUGUUGACCUUCCCCCUGCCCUCCAAGAGGUGUGUGACACUGGGGAAGUCACUUCCCCUCUCUGAGCCUCAGGGUUUUUCACCUGCCUUAGGGGGUUAGGAUGCCCUACCCUGCUGACCCCCAGCAGGCUGCUGACCCCAUCUGGGGUGAGGUGGGAGGCGGGGCAGUGCGAGUCA
rnacentral:lncRNA from 10 species